CAGCUCUGUGCCUCGACACAGGGCACGUUGUGGCCUCUGCAACGCGGGAAGCAACGGCAGGGACCCGGUGCCUGUGUGAAAUUACCGCAGUGUCCCAGCUCCUGUGGAGCGAAACGGAGAGUUGUGGCUCGAACGGAUAAACUUAAAUAGGAAAAAAUUAGGAGAAAAGUAUUUAAUGACAGAGCCUUGUGUGGGAAGUACAAAUGCAUUUUGUUUUAAGGUGCUUGCCUCCUCCUAGGCUGGAGAAUGUCAGGCUGGAUUGAACAACGUGCAUGGGAAGAGAAGGGAAUGCACACAGAGGCAGGCACAGGAUGUUCUGUUUGGAACAUGAGGGACUUUUGCCAGAGAUCUAUGGGAUAAGGCUUCAUGGAUCACUAGUAUUUAAGGAUUGCUGACCUGGAAGACUUGCCAGAAGUCACAAACCACUUAGUACUCUGCAAUUUUGUGAGACCUUAUGAGCCAAGUAAUAUAUUCCUGAAGCUAUUACCCAGCUUUGCAGGAAGAGAGUUGAACAAUCAUUUUUAACACUGUGGGGAGGCUGAGACAAUUUCCUGAUUACAUCCAGUGCCAAAAUCCAGCUGGACUGCAGUGGAAUCCUGAUGCCCAGACAGCAGCACUGGGUGCCCACACGUGGUUGACAACAUGAACACGUGCACUUUGUGUCUUUCUUGGAUCAGCUGCUGUUUGAUAUCAAGCCUUCUAAAGUGCUGCUGUAGAACCAGUUCAAACAACCCCACACUCAGCAGAUUUUCCCUCUGGCCUUAUCCUUGCAGCAGAGCUUUUGUGGAGACUGCUGCUUACUUCAAGACACAAAGAGAGCUCCUGCUGAAGCAACUAUCUCUGAGAAGGCAGGGGGUUAGAGUUUAUUCCUCCUGUCUUCCCAGUGCUUCCUUGACUCAUCUGCGAUGCUGACAUCAACACCAACUCCCUCCACUUCCAAAUUGUGAUGGUAGCACUUAAUCUCAGGCAGUUGGUUUGCUUGAAAACUUGCUAUCUUUCUUUCAGUGAAGUUUUCCCCUUUUUAGGAUGUUGUGUGUUUUUUUCCAUCAUAUUGAUCAGUCUUAUCUUUAGUCCAUGCCUUACUUCUCCCUGCUAAGUCUGUAUGCAUGGCUACAAGCAGGCAGAAAGGAGUGUUUGCUGUUUCAUUAGUACUUGUAGCUCCUGCCCAGUUAAUGGGAUCACCCAGAAGGAGAAAUGCAAGUUUUUAAGCAUCCACAGGUCAAGCACUUGGUGCUGAUGGAUUAAUUCUGGAGCUAAAGCUCCAGAGUACCCAGGCUGCCCCAACACUUGUUGCUGCCCACGAAACAAAGACGAGAUGAAAGCACACCUGAGUGUACCAGACUGAAAGCUGUGGCCACCCAAGUGGAUCAU